UAGGUACUCCCUCCGAUCCAUAUUACUUGUCGAAAUAUUACAUGUAUCGCUUUUUAGUUAUAGAUACAUCCAUAUUUUGGCAAAUUUGAGACAAUUAAUAUGGGUCGGAGGGAGUAUAUU
rnacentral:pre_miRNA from 1 species